rnacentral:rRNA from 1 species
AGAGUUUGAUCCUGGCUCAGGACGAACGCUGGCGGCGCGCCUAACACAUGCAAGUCGAACGGAGCUUAAAGAGCUUGCUUUUUAAGCUUAGUGGCGAACGGGUGAGUAACGCGUGAGUAACCUGCCCUGGAGUGGGGGACAACAGUUGGAAACGACUGCUAAUACCGCAUAAGCCCACGGAUUCGCAUGGAUCUGCGGGAAAAGGAUUUAUUCGCUCUAGGAUGGACUCGCGUCCAAUUAGCUAGUUGGUGAGGUAACGGCCCACCAAGGCGACGAUUGGUAGCCGGACUGAGAGGUUGAACGGCCACAUUGGGACUGAGACACGGCCCAGACUCCUACGGGAGGCAGCAGUGGGGGAUAUUGCACAAUGGGGGAAACCCUGAUGCAGCGACGCCGCGUGGAGGAAGAAGGUUUUCGGAUUGUAAACUCCUGUCGUUAGGGACGAUAAUGACGGUACCUAACAAGAAAGCACCGGCUAACUACGUGCCAGCAGCCGCGGUAAAACGUAGGGUGCAAGCGUUGUCCGGAAUUACUGGGUGUAAAGGGAGCGCAGGCGGACCGGCAAGUUGGAAGUGAAAACUAUGGGCUCAACCCAUAAAUUGCUUUCAAAACUGCUGGCCUUGAGUAGUGCAGAGGUAGGUGGAAUUCCCGGUGUAGCGGUGGAAUGCGUAGAUAUCGGGAGGAACACCAGUGGCGAAGGCGACCUACUGGGCACCAACUGACGCUGAGGCUCGAAAGCAUGGGUAGCAAACAAGAUUAGAUACCCUGGUAGUCCACACCGUAAACGAUGAGCACUAGGUGUCGGGGUCGCAAGACUUCGGUGCCGCAGUUAACGCAUUAAGUGCUCCGCCUGGGGAGUACGCACGCAAGUGUGAAACUCAAAGGAAUUGACGGGGACCCGCACAAGCAGCGGAGCAUGUGGUUUAAUUCGAAGCAACGCGAAGAACCUUACCAGGACUUGACAUCCCUCUGAAACCCCUGAUAACGAAGGGGCCUCUACGGACAGAGGAGACAGGUGGUGCAUGGUUGUCGUCAGCUCGUGUCGUGAGAUGUUGGGUUAAGUCCCGCAACGAGCGCAACCCUUGUCAUUAGUUGCCAUCAUUUAGUUGGGCACUCUAGUGAGACUGCCGGGGACAACUCGGAGGAAGGUGGGGAUGACGUCAAAUCAUCAUGCCCCUUAUGUUCUGGGCUACACACGUGCUACAAUGGCCGGUACAAAGAGCAGCGAGACUGUGAAGUGGAGCAAAUCUCAAAAACCGGUCCCAGUUCGGAUUGUAGGCUGCAACUCGCCUACAUGAAGUCGGAGUUGCUAGUAAUCGCGGAUCAGAAUGCCGCGGUGAAUGCGUUCCCGGGCCUUGUACACACCGCCCGUCACACCAUGGAAGUUGGGGGCGCCCGAAGUUGCCUAAGAAAUAGGGUACCUAAGGCGAAACCAAUGACUGGGGUGAAGUCGUAACAAGGUA